CCUACGGGAGGCAGCAGUGGGGAAUAUUGGACAAUGGGGGGAACCCUGAUCCAGCCAUGCCGCGUGUGUGAAGAAGGCCCUCGGGUUGUAAAGCACUUUCAGUGAGGAAGAACGCCUGGUGGUUAAUACCCAUCAGGAAAGACAUCACUCACAGAAGAAGCACCGGCUAACUCCGUGCCAGCAGCCGCGGUAAUACGGAGGGUGCGAGCGUUAAUCGGAAUUACUGGGCGUAAAGCGCGCGUAGGUGGCUUGAUAAGCCGGUUGCGAAAGCCCCGGGCUCAACCUGGGAACGGCAUCCGGAACUGUCAAGCUAGAGUGCAGGAGAGGAAGGUAGAAUUCCCGGUGUAGCGGUGAAAUGCGUAGAGAUCGGGAGGAAUACCAGUGGCGAAGGCGGCCUUCUGGACUGACACUGACACUGAGGUGCGAAAGCGUGGGUAGCAAACAGGAUUAGAUACCCCGGUAGUC
rnacentral:rRNA from 1 species